rnacentral:lncRNA from 1 species
CUGCAGCCGUCCAAUUUGAACACACUUCCCAGUCUAUUAUAGAGAUUAAAAGGGUGCGGAUGCAGAGGUACAGAAAGGAAUGUGGAUGGGGGCCCCCAGGGAGCUCCACCUGUCCCACUCUCAGGGUAGCCCCCAUAAUUUAGGUUCUAGAGUAGCAGUGCUGACAGUGACACACACAUGAUUAUCACAAAAGCACUACUUCUAGAUCGGAUCCUAUACGCACUUCUAAAAUGGUAUUCUUAGCAUUAACUGUAGCCUUCCAAAAAUCUUAAUUAUGUCACAAAAUCUUUUGAUAUAAAUUUUUCUUUCAGUCUCAAGGAGGCAGAGUUUUAGGACAGAGCUGCUUGCAUUUCCAUGCACACAAUACCCUCUGGCUAACACGCAGGUUCUCAUCCCUGUGGGCAGGGGGAGGCCUGAGACACUACCUUCCAAUGGUCCCUAAUGCUGCCACUGCUCCCAAACUGCACUCUGACCAGCAAGGUCUCAGGGGCACUGUUAGGACUUCUGUUUCAAAAAUGUGCUAAGUUAGUAAUGGUGGCUGAUAGGGCUGUGUUAACUAAAAUUUUUAUGUUGUAUUUAAUGCAAACCUUUUGGCAAAGGAAAAUCUGAAGACAUCACUAGUAUUUUCCUGCCUGAAAUAAACGAUUCUUAUAUUUAUUUGACAACCUGUUCAGCUAAGAUUCCAUUCCCAAAAAUAUGUCCCAGUUUUCCAUCCCAAUGAUGGUCCCUUGUCGACUCAGAGCUCAGUGUUCUUCCCCUGCCUUGUCAGUCUGCAUCUCAGGCCUGGCCUCUCAUGACUGGCCUGCUGCAGUGACCCCAGACUCAGGUCCCCACCCAACAGGGACCUCUGUCCAUACGCCACCCAUCAAAUCUCCAAGUCCCUCAACCACUUGUCCCUCAGCAGCUGCACUUCCUGUUUCUUCCAAGCAGCUUCCUUGGUCCAGCUCUGUGAAUCUGCAAACCACCCACAUCACCGAACUUUUCCUUCUGGUCUUGGUAUCUUGGUAUCUUCUCAUUUCUCUCCAAACCCCAAGCUGUGUCCACAGGAAGAAACCAAUGUCCCUGGGUUUAUUCUCAACUCCAGCAAAAUUUUUUACAAGUAUUAAACACUCUCUCUCUCUCUCUCUCUCUCUCUCUCCCUCCCUCCCUCUCCCUCUCCUUCUCUUCUAUUGGUGAAAAAUCCAAUCACUGGAGACAGAGACUUGCUGUGAAGUUUAAAUGCUGUCCUAACCUAUGAAAUGCUCUAUGUUGGAGGCAGUGCUAACAAGAUCCCUUGAAACCCUUUGCAGAUGCGAAAUCACUUCUUCAGUCCUGAGCUCGCCAGGAUCAAGCUCAAUGCCACACACCUGAGACUGCCCAGUCCUGUACUCCCUGGUGGCACACCUGGGUCCCUCUGUGCACCUUUACUAGGGGACUUCACGGACUUCAGCUGCGGCACAAUACGAGACUCUGCUGAUCCCGAGGAGCAGAUGGCAUGGAAUGGGCACAAAAACUCUGAACAUGGAGCAGCAAGAGAAAGAUGCCAGUGGCUUUGUGCUGAGCAGCUACAGUCCUGAGCAGCAGCCUGGCAGGCGUUCAACCUCCCACUCAGCAUCUGGCCCCCGGGUCGCCUGCCAACCCAUGCUCAGAAGACUCUGGCUUCUCAUUCUUUUAUUUUAUUUUUUAGUAUAUGGAAUGCGUG